rnacentral:rRNA from 1 species
AGCUGUCUCUUUUAGGGGCUAUGAAUUUAACUUUUGAGUGAAAAGGCUCAAAUUAUUUAGUGGGACGAUAAGACCCUAUAAAACUUUAUAUAAGUUGGGCUUGGUUCGUGAUGUGUGUGAAAAAUAGUUUUGCCUGAUUUAUAUUUCGUUGGGGAGAUGAAGAUAUAAUGAGUAACUGUCUGAUUAAUUUAAUAGUGAUUGUUAGUGUUUGAUCCUUCUUUGUGGAUUAUAAGAAUAAGUUACUUUAGGGAUAACAGCGUAAUUUUCUUUGAGAGUUCUUAUCGACAAGAGUAGUUGCGACCUCGAUGUUGAAUUAAAAAUUUCAGCUAGGUGUAGCCGCUUGGCUGGUAGGUCUGUUCGACCUUUUAAAUUUUACGUGAUCUGAGUUCAGACCGGACUCGCCUGUUUUAUCAAAAA